rnacentral:tRNA from 4 species
GGAUGGGUGGCCGAGUGGUUUAAGGCUCUGGUCUUGAAAACCAGCGUAGGUGAAAGCCUACCGUGGGUUCGAAUCCCACCCCAUCCGCCA